rnacentral:rRNA from 1 species
GGGUUGUGAGGUUAAGCGACUAAGCGUACACGGUGGAUGCCCUGGCAGUCAGAGGCGAUGAAGGACGUGCUAAUCUGCGAUAAGCGCCGGUAAGGUGAUAUGAACCGUUAUAACCGGCGAUUUCCGAAUGGGGAAACCCAGUGUGACUCGUCACACUAUCAUUAACUGAAUCCAUAGGUUAAUGAGGCGAACCGGGGGAACUGAAACAUCUAAGUACCCCGAGGAAAAGAAAUCAACCGAGAUUCCCCCAGUAGCGGCGAGCGAACGGGGAGGAGCCCAGAGCCUGAAUCAGCAUGUGUGUUAGUGGAAGCGUCUGGAAAGGCGCGCGAUACAGGGUGACAGCCCCGUACACAAAAGCGCAUGUGCUGUGAGCUCGAUGAGUAGGGCGGGACACGUGGUAUCCUGUCUGAAUAUGGGGGGACCAUCCUCCAAGGCUAAAUACUCCUGACUGACCGAUAGUGAACCAGUACCGUGAGGGAAAGGCGAAAAGAACCCCGGCGAGGGGAGUGAAAAAGAACCUGAAACCGUGUACGUACAAGCAGUGGGAGCACCCUUUGGGGUGUGACUGCGUACCUUUUGUAUAAUGGGUCAGCGACUUAUAUUCUGUAGCAAGGUUAACCGAAUAGGGGAGCCGGAGGGAAACCGAGUCUUAACCGGGCGUUAAGUUGCAGGGUAUAGACCCGAAACCCGGUGAUCUAGCCAUGGGCAGGUUGAAGGUUGGGUAACACUAACUGGAGGACCGAACCGACUAAUGUUGAAAAAUUAGCGGAUGACCUGUGGCUGGGGGUGAAAGGCCAAUCAAACCGGGAGAUAGCUGGUUCUCCCCGAAAGCUAUUUAGGUAGCGCCUCGUGAAUUCAUCUCCGGGGGUAGAGCACUGUUUCGGCUAGGGGGCCAUCCCGGCUUACCAACCCGAUGCAAACUGCGAAUACCGGAGAAUGUUAUCACGGGAGACACACGGCGGGUGCUAACGUCCGUCGUGAAGAGGGAAACAACCCAGACCGCCAGCUAAGGUCCCAAAGUCAUGGUUAAGUGGGAAACGAUGUGGGAAGGCCCAGACAGCCAGGAUGUUGGCUUAGAAGCAGCCAUCAUUUAAAGAAAGCGUAAUAGCUCACUGGUCGAGUCGGCCUGCGCGGAAGAUGUAACGGGGCUAAACCAUGCACCGAAGCUGCGGCAGCGACGCUGAUGCGUUGUUGGGUAGGGGAGCGUUCUGUAAGCCUGUGAAGGUGGCCUGUGAGGGUUGCUGGAGGUAUCAGAAGUGCGAAUGCUGACAUAAGUAACGAUAAAGCGGGUGAAAAGCCCGCUCGCCGGAAGACCAAGGGUUCCUGUCCAACGUUAAUCGGGGCAGGGUGAGUCGACCCCUAAGGCGAGGCCGAAAGGCGUAGUCGAUGGGAAACGGGUUAAUAUUCCCGUACUUGGUGUUACUGCGAAGGGGGGACGGAGAAGGCUAUGUUGGCCGGGCGACGGUUGUCCCGGUUUAAGCGUGUAGGUGUGUGUUCCAGGUAAAUCCGGUUCACUUUAACACUGAGGCGUGAUGACGAGGCACUACGGUGCUGAAGCAACAAAUGCCCUGCUUCCAGGAAAAGCCUCUAAGCAUCAGGUAACAUCAAAUCGUACCCCAAACCGACACAGGUGGUCAGGUAGAGAAUACCAAGGCGCUUGAGAGAACUCGGGUGAAGGAACUAGGCAAAAUGGUGCCGUAACUUCGGGAGAAGGCACGCUGACACGUAGGUGAAGUGAUUUACUCAUGGAGCUGAAGUCAGUCGAAGAUACCAGCUGGCUGCAACUGUUUAUUAAAAACACAGCACUGUGCAAACACGAAAGUGGACGUAUACGGUGUGACGCCUGCCCGGUGCCGGAAGGUUAAUUGAUGGGGUCAGCGCAAGCGAAGCUCCUGAUCGAAGCCCCGGUAAACGGCGGCCGUAACUAUAACGGUCCUAAGGUAGCGAAAUUCCUUGUCGGGUAAGUUCCGACCUGCACGAAUGGCGUAAUGAUGGCCAGGCUGUCUCCACCCGAGACUCAGUGAAAUUGAACUCGCUGUGAAGAUGCAGUGUACCCGCGGCAAGACGGAAAGACCCCGUGAACCUUUACUAUAGCUUGACACUGAACAUUGAGCCUUGAUGUGUAGGAUAGGUGGGAGGCUUUGAAGUGUGGACGCCAGUCUGCAUGGAGCCGACCUUGAAAUACCACCCUUUAAUGUUUGAUGUUCUAACGUGGACCCGUAAUCCGGGUUGCGGACAGUGUCUGGUGGGUAGUUUGACUGGGGCGGUCUCCUCCUAAAGAGUAACGGAGGAGCACGAAGGUUGGCUAAUCCUGGUCGGACAUCAGGAGGUUAGUGCAAUGGCAUAAGCCAGCUUGACUGCGAGCGUGACGGCGCGAGCAGGUGCGAAAGCAGGUCAUAGUGAUCCGGUGGUUCUGAAUGGAAGGGCCAUCGCUCAACGGAUAAAAGGUACUCCGGGGAUAACAGGCUGAUACCGCCCAAGAGUUCAUAUCGACGGCGGUGUUUGGCACCUCGAUGUCGGCUCAUCACAUCCUGGGGCUGAAGUAGGUCCCAAGGGUAUGGCUGUUCGCCAUUUAAAGUGGUACGCGAGCUGGGUUUAGAACGUCGUGAGACAGUUCGGUCCCUAUCUGCCGUGGGCGCUGGAGAACUGAGGGGGGCUGCUCCUAGUACGAGAGGACCGGAGUGGACGCAUCACUGGUGUUCGGGUUGUCAUGCCAAUGGCACUGCCCGGUAGCUAAAUGCGGAAGAGAUAAGUGCUGAAAGCAUCUAAGCACGAAACUUGCCCCGAGAUGAGUUCUCCCUGAGACUUUAAGUCUCCUGAAGGAACGUUGAAGACGACGACGUUGAUAGGCCGGGUGUGUAAGCGCAGCGAUGCGUUGAGCUAACCGGUACUAAUGAACCGUGAGGCUUAACCUUACAACGCCGAAG